UACGUAGGGGGCGAGCGUUGUCCGGAUUUAUUGGGCGUAAAGAGCGUGUAGGCGGCCAGGUAGGUCUGCUGUGAAAACUCGAGGCUCAACUCCGGAUCUGCGGUGGGUACGGGCAGACUAGAGUGAUGUAGGGGAGACUGGAAUUCCUGGUGUAGCGGUGAAAUGCGCAGAUAUCAGGAGGAACACCGAUGGCGAAGGCAGGUCUCUGGGCAUUAACUGACGCUGAGGAGCGAAAGCAUGGGGAGCGAACAGG
rnacentral:rRNA from 1 species